rnacentral:rRNA from 1 species
GCGGUAUUNGUCCUUCGGGACGGAGAGAGCGGCGUACGGGUGCGGAACACGUGUGCAACCUGCCUUUAUCUGGGGGAUAGCCUUUCGAAAGGAAGAUUAAUACCCCAUAACAUAUGAUACGGCAUCGUAUUAUAUUGAAAACUCCGGUGGAUAGAGAUGGGCACGCGCAAGAUUAGAUAGUUGGUGAGGUAACGGCUCACCAAGUCAGUGAUCUUUAGGGGGCCUGAGAGGGUGAUCCCCCACACUGGUACUGAGACACGGACCAGACUCCUACGGGAGGCAGCAGUGAGGAAUAUUGGACAAUGGGUGAGAGCCUGAUCCAGCCAUCCCGCGUGAAGGACUAAGGCCCUAUGGGUUGUAAACUUCUUUUAUACUGGGAUAAACCUACUUACGUGUAAGUAGCUGAAGGUACAGUAUGAAUAAGCACCGGCUAACUCCGUGCCAGCAGCCGCGGUAAUACGGAGGGUGCAAGCGUUAUCCGGAUUUAUUGGGUUUAAAGGGUCCGUAGGCGGAUCCGUAAGUCAGUGGUGAAAUCUCAUAGCUUAACUAUGAAACUGCCAUUGAUACUGCGGGUCUUGAGUGAGAUUGAGGUAGCUGGAAUAAGUAGUGUAGCGGUGAAAUGCAUAGAUAUUACUUAGAACACCAAUUGCGAAGGCAGGUUACCAAGUCUUAACUGACGCUGAGGGACGAAAGCGU